AUUGAACGCUGGCGGAACGCUUUACACAUGCAAGUCGAACGGCAGCACGGACUUCGGUCUGGUGGCGAGUGGCGAACGGGUGAGUAAUAUAUCGGAACGUGCCCAGUCGUGGGGGAUAACGUAGUGAAAAUUACGCUAAUACCGCAUACGAUCUAUGGAUGAAAGCGGGGGAUCGCAAGACCUCGCGCGAUUGGAGCGGCCGAUAUCAGAUUAGGUAGUUGGUGAGGUAAAGGCUCACCAAGCCGACGAUCUGUAGCUGGUCUGAGAGGACGACCAGCCACACUGGAACUGAGACACGGUCCAGACUCCUACGGGAGGCAGCAGUGGGGAAUUUUGGACAAUGGACGCAAGUCUGAUCCAGCCAUUCCGCGUGCAGGACGAAGGCCUUCGGGUUGUAAACUGCUUUUGUACAGAACGAAAAGGUCUCUAUUAAUACUAGGGGCUCAUGACGGUACUGUAAGAAUAAGCACCGGCUAACUACGUGCCAGCCGCCGCAGUAA
rnacentral:rRNA from 1 species